GACGAACGCUGGCGGCGUGCCUAAUACAUGCAAGUCGAACGCUUUUUCUUUCACCGGAGCUUGCCCCACCGAAAGAAAAAGAGUGGCGAACGGGUGAGUAACACGUGGGUAACCUGCCCAUCAGAAGGGGAUAACACUUGGAAACAGGUGCUAAUACCGUAUAACACUAUUUUCCGCAUGGAAGAAAGUUGAAAGGCGCUUUUGCGUCACUGAUGGAUGGACCCGCGGUGCAUUAGCUAGUUGGUGAGGUAACGGCUCACCAAGGCAACGAUGCAUAGCCGACCUGAGAGGGUGAUCGGCCACACUGGGACUGAGACACGGCCCAGCGGGUAGGGAAUCUUCGGCAAUGGACGAAAGUCUGACCGAGCAACGCCGCGUGAGUGAAGAAGGUUUUCGGAUCGUAAAACUCUGUUGUUAGAGAAGAACAAGGAUGAGAGUAGAACGUUCAUCCCUUGACGGUAUCUAACCAGAAAGCCC
rnacentral:rRNA from 1 species